rnacentral:rRNA from 1 species
AGUGAACGCUGGCGGUAGGCCUAACACAUGCAAGUCGAACGGCAGCACAGUAUGCGCUCGCUCUUACGGGUGGCGAGUGGCGGAUGGGUGAGGAAUACAUCGGCAUCUACUUUUUCGUGGGGGACAACGUAGGGAAACUUACGCUAAUACCGCAUACGACCUACGGGUGAAAGCAGGGGAUCUUCGGACCUUGCGCGUUUGAAUGAGCCGAUGUCGGAUUAGCUAGUUGGCGGGGUAAAGGCCCACCAAGGCGACGAUCCGUAGCUGGUCUGAGAGGAUGAUCAGCCACACUGGAACUGAGACACGGUCCAGACUCCUACGGGAGGCAGCAGUGGGGAAUAUUGGACAAUGGGCGCAAGCCUGAUCCAGCCAUGCCGCGUGAGUGAAGAAGGCCUUCGGGUUGUAAAGCCCUUUUGUUGGGAAAGAAAAGCAGCAGGUUAAUACCCCGCUGUUCUGACGGUACCCAAAGAAUAAGCACCGGCUAACUUCGUG